GACGAACGCUGGCGGCGUGCUUAACACAUGCAAGUCGAACGGAAAGGCCCUGCUUUUGUGUGGUUCUCGAGUGGCGAACGUGUGAGUAACAUGUGAGUAACCUUCCCUUUACUUUGUGAUAACUUCAGGAAACUGCUGCUAAUACCUGAUAGGAGCUCCUGCUGCAUGGUGGGGUUCGGAACGUUUCGGCGGUUGGGGAUGGACGCGCGGGUUAUUAGCUUGUUGGUGGGGUAGUGGCUUACCAAGGGUUUGAAGGGUAGCCUGCCUGAGAGGGGGACCGGCGACAUGGGGACUAAGAUACGGAGCAGACGCGUACGGGAGGCAGAGGGGGGGAAUAUUGCACAGUGGGGGGAAGCGUGAUGAAGAAACGCCGGGAGCGGGAUGAAGGCCUUCGGGUGGGAAACCGCUUUAGCCUGAGACGAAGCGUGAGUGACGUUAAUGGGUAAAGAAGCACCGGCUAACUACGUG
rnacentral:rRNA from 1 species